AACCUACCUAGUAGUACGGAAUAGCUCCUGGAAACGGGAAUUAAUACCGUAUACGCCCUAUGGGGGAAAGAUUUAUCGCUAUUAGAUGGGCCCGCGUUUGAUUAGUUAGUUGGUGGGGUAAUGGCCUACCAAGACGACGAUCAAUAGCUGGUCUGAGAGGAUGAUCAGCCACACUGGGACUGAGACACGGCCCAGACUCCUACGGGAGGCAGCAGUGGGGAAUAUUGGACAAUGGGGGCAACCCUGAUCCAGCCAUGCCGCGUGAGUGAUGAAGGCCUUAGGGUUGUAAAGCUCUUUCGCUAGGGAAGAUAAUGACGGUACCUAGUAAAGAAGCCCCGGCUAACUUCGUGCCAGCAGCCGCGGUAAUACGAAGGGGGCUAGCGUUGUUCGGAAUUACUGGGCGUAAAGCGCACGUAGGCGGAUUAGUAAGUUAGGGGUGAAAUCCCGAGGCUCAACCUCGGAACUGCCUUUAAUACUGCUAGUCUCGAGUUCGGGAGAGGUGUAUGGAACUCCUAGUGUAGAGGUGGAAUUCGUAGAUAUUAGGAAGAACACCAGUGGCGAAGGCGAUACACUGGCCCGAUACUGACGCUGAGGUGCGAAAGCGUGGGGAGCAAACA
rnacentral:rRNA from 1 species